GGUUCGCUCUGGGCAUUGCCAGCUGUCCAGGGCCAGUGACGGUCUGUACUUUAAGAUGCUGAAUUAGGUGUGAACCUGUUCAUGGACUCAAAAGGUAGUUUCUUUGAACCAUGUAGAGUUCUUCAGGUUGAAAGUGCUCUACAUAUGUGUUAAAUUUCCUCUUAAAAUCGAGGACAACAAAAACUACUUUUUUGUUUUGUUUUUUUGUUAAUUUUAGGGCCACACCUGCGGCAUAUGGAAGUUCCCAGUCUAGGGCUUCAGUCGGAGCUGUAGCUGCCAGUCUAUGCCACAGCCACAGCCACGCCAGAUCCAAGCCACGUCUGCGACCUACACCACAGCUCAUGGCAACACCGGAUCCAUAACCCACUGAGCGAGGCCAGGGGUUAAACCUGUGUCCUCAUGGUUACUUAGAUUCAUUUCCACUGAGCCACAAUGGGAACUCCUUAAACUACUUUUCUUACUUCUAAUAGAAGAACCUAUCUCGAGGGGCUAUUUGAUUGGUACAUAUCUGGAGUCUUGAGAGGACAACUCUUAAAAGGAUAGAGCUGUAGAUGACAUAGUGUCACCCUUUGUAUGUGGAUGGGAAAUAUUACAGUCUUCAAUCAACCUGAAACAGUGUUGAUGUACACAGACGGCAUUUAACUGGGUCCAUUAGGUUUUAGAGGGUGUGUUCCUCUCAGUCUUAAAAACAGCAAGAUGUGUAUGGACAGAUGAGGGCUCAUACAGCGAAAUGUGUGCAGGUAAGAACAGAAUGCCCGAAAUGCCCCGGGAACCGUUUUUUUCUCUCUAGCCAUUGGAUAUGAGGAAAUACACUAACAGACACUAGUUAAUACUUAUUUACAACAAUUUGUUCCCCUUGGAGAACUCAUUUUUCAAUCCAGGUUGAACUUGAUUUCAAUCCCUGUUAAAAGGGCAAAUAACCCCGUUUGUAGAGGAUCAGACUCAUUCCUAACUGGAAAUGUCUGUUAAACGCCUCCCUGCUCUCUGUGUUGAGACCAUAUAAUUUUGUGCCCCAGAGAUAAGAGGGGUAGUUUGUUUACAAAAGAGAUUAGUGUUUAGGACAUCCAGACUCUAGCCUUAGAGCAGAGAUCAAAUAGCAGAUUAGACUAGCCAGAAAGUAUAGUUUGUGUGUGUGUGUGCACCUGCCGUGCAUGCAUGUACCCACGUGCCGCGCACAUGAGCGCCCACUGCACAGCUUGCCUGGUGUUGUAGAUGAGCUAACAGGAGGGAUGCUUGAAUUAUUUAAUGUCUACAUAUCCUUUACCACAGUUCUAUCAUCACAUUAUAAAUGCUUUUUCAUUUUUUAUUAGUAAUUUAUUUUUGAAACUUUAUCUUUUUCACCCAACUUAAACCACCAUUAAUGCAUUUGAUAAGUUUCUGUCAAGUUCUAAAGACACAAUCCAAGUAGUUUCUUCCGUCUUCCUGCCAGUUAUCCACAAUGACCAUGGUACUUUAAUUCGGUCAUUGCAUCACAAUGAAAGCGGAAUUGAUCUGUGCCACCUGCACCAAACCAUUCUUCUGGAAAGGUCACCUGACAUUUUUUUUUUUUUCUUUUGUCUUUUUGCUAUUUCUUGGGCCACUCCGGAGGCAUAUGGAGCAGCCCCAGAAAAGGCAAAAAGACAUACAUACAUACAUACAUAAAUAAACAAAUAAAUAAAUAAAAGUUCACAUGUAAAGUCUUAGUAUAUCUAUUGAAUGUAGGGUCCUGGGAGAGCAGAAGAAAAUGUAUCCUGGGAAAAGCAGAAUACUUAUUUUUUAAAAUGUAAAAAAAUUGCAUCAGCUCUCACCUAUUAUUUUUCCUCCUAGAUUACAGAAAUCAGAUUCUUCCAUUACUACAGAACUAUUUUCUGAAAUACUUCCUGUCUCUCACUUUCCCUUCAGGCUUUUAGAUUAAAAAUUUGACAAUA
rnacentral:lncRNA from 1 species